GAUCCACACAAAAUGAAUUUACAUUUUUAAGAUAAAGUUAAAAAAAUAACUAGAAUAAGAUUCAACUAAAUAUUUUUGUAUUUUUAAUGCGUUUUGGUUGAUUAAAAACCAUUCAAAUCUGCUUUAUAGCCUGUCCGCUGUCUAAUAUUGUGUCAGUAGUUGUUUGACUUUGAGAGGGCGGGACUCUUUGGAGAGCGAAAUGAACUAGGCGCGGCCAAAAGGAGCCCCAUCCAUCUAUCACACGUGUAGACAAAGGGGGACUCCACAACACAAAGCUAGAUGUGCCCUCAACAAACUUUUUUUUUUUUUCCUCCACUGCGCACGGGAGCGCGCAGCCGGCAAGCCGCCCCGCAGGUGAGUGCGUCUCCGUCCCGGCCCGCUUUGCGCCUUUCCUCCUCCACACUUCUAAAGUGAAUUUCCAGUCCAAAGUUGCGGCUGUAGUUGAUGCGUCAGCGCUCCAAACUUGAACACAAAGCAGGAGACAAGAGGGCGAGAGACAUAGGGAGACUACGGCGGCGAGGAGGGAGAGGGAGAGGAGCGGUCCCCCUUUUCCUUUGUCUGAUGCGCGUUGAGGAGAGAAGUUGAGGAGAUGCUCAAAGACGCAUCUCCACAUUAGCCAGUAAAGAUCAACUUCGGCUGCAUACGAUGACUUGUCUUUGCGACUAAGUGUAGGUGGGAUUUUAACACAGAUUAACCAGCAAAAGCAUUUGCUCCUGUGGGAGGUGAAGGGGGAAAAAUAUGCAGAACUCCCAUGGUGGAUGCACAGAAUCACCAAUCAAACGAAUUUCAAGAAGAAGAGGAGGAUUAAGAGAAUUUUUAUUUUUUUAAGGUUUAGACUUAUCGCAGGAGGAUUUAGACUUCAGCAACUCCAUCGCCAGUUGGAUUGUGCCUUUUUUUGGAAAUCUAAAACUUGUGGAGACACUUUCGAGGAUUAUGAAACCUCUGUGUCGUAAAUCUCCCUGGAAGACGCGUCCCAGGCCAGAGCCUCCAGGAUAGCAGGAUAUUGCUUCUCAUAUCCUCUUUGGGCCUUUGCACACAUCCAGGUGUGAAAGCUCAUUGGACAUUUGCUGUGGUCCAAACAAAUGGAAGCUGUCGCGGUGUACCUACAAUGGAAUGAAUGGAGAGAGACCAUCCAGCAGGAACAACAGUAUGAAGAGCUGCGAAAAAGUAAGUGACAUCAGCCCUGUGCAUUUUAUUUUGAAACAAACAAUAUUAUUCCUGUGUAUGUAAAUAGUCCUUUCCAAGAAGUGCAAUGUGAAAGCAAAAAAAAUAAAUAAAUAAAUAAAUAAAAAUCUGCAAUUCUGCCUCCCGCCUGAUCCUUCUGUUGAGUUAGCUGAAGUUCCUAAAAUGAGAUAAAAAUUUCAAAUGAUAUAAAUAUGAUAAUAUAUGUUUAUUGCAUUAAGGAAA